AGGCAGAGCCAGGUGGGGAAGGAAGAGCUCUGAAGGCUUGCUGAGGCUCUCGUAGGCAGCUUAGGGCUGUCCGGCUGCUGUGGCUGCACGACUCCAGGGUGUGAGGCCACUGUGGUCAGGUGGGGCAGCCGAACCUGGACCUCCAGAGCCUGGCCUCUGGGACGCCAGGGGCCCACUGGUCUGUCUACGGGCUCCUCACUGGUCUUGCGCUAAGGGUCAGCCCACGUCCUCUUCUUCCGGGGUCCAGGGACAGGGCUGAGCUGGGUCCCUGCUCUGCCCCAAGCACCAGGCCUGGCACAGACGGGUGGAACUGGUAGAAGGGAGGCUGGAAGAGUGAGUUCUGGGCCAGUUACCCAGGGCUCGAAGGAGCACAGCCCUGGGGCCGGCACAGCUCCCCAUCAACCUGCCAGCCAGCGCCUGUGCGACAGGGAAGCACCCACCUCCUUCGACCCAGGGCCCGGCUGCCCCACCCUGACCCACGCAUCCUUCGGAGGUCCCAGGAGAAAUUUCAUUCCUCCUGGAAGCCCUCCGAGAUCACCACGCUCUGUAGGGUCCCUUCCUCGUCCUCUCAUGACGCCCUGCUCCAUGCGGUAGCACUUCUGUAAUAACUUGUUUAAUUACCCUUCUGUCUCCCUAGACUGCAGGACCCGUAGGAUGGGACUACUGUUUUAGCAGAGCGCCUGACCCAAAUAAAUAUUUACUGAAUGGA